rnacentral:tRNA from 1 species
GGAUUGUGGCUCAGUGGUAGAGUGCUCCCUUAGUAUGGGCGGGACCUGGGUUCAAUCCUCAGCACCA